rnacentral:rRNA from 1 species
UACAGAGGGGGCGAGCGUUAUUCGGAAUUAUUGGGCGUAAAGGGCGCGUAGGCGGCCUUUCAAGUGAGGGGUGAAAUCCCUCGGCUUAACCGAGGAACUGCCUGUCAGACUGGAAGGCUUGAGACCGGGAGAGGUGAGUGGAAUUCCCAGUGUAGCGGUGAAAUGCGUAGAUAUUGGGAGGAACACCAGUGGCGAAGGCGGCUCACUGGACCGGUACUGACGCUGAGGCGCGAAAGCGUGGGGAGCAAACAGG